rnacentral:rRNA from 1 species
AUGGUUGUCGUCAGCUCGUGUCGUGAGAUGUUGGUUAAGUCCCGCAACGAGCGCAACCCUUAUUGCUAGUUACCAUCAUUGAUUGGGGACUCUAGCGAGACUGCCAGCGAUAAGCUGGAGGAAGGUGGGGAUGACGUCAAAUCAUCAUGCCCCUUAUGACCUGGGCUACAAACGUGAUACAAUGGCUGGAACAAAGGGAGGCGAAGGGGUGACCUGGAGCGAAACCCAAAAAUACAGUCUCAGUUCGGAUUGAAGUCUGCAACUCGACUUCAUGAAGUCGGAAUCGCUAGUAAUCGCGGAUCAGAACGCCGCGGUGAAUACGUUCUCGGGGUUU